GCAAACUGCUGAGGUUGGCCUCCCAGGGCCUUGGGCCGGGCUGCUCCAAAGUGCCAGUCACACCAAACCUGUGAUAGCACUUGGGACUAAGGGAGGAUGGCUGGCCCUGCUUGGAGACGUGACCUGGGGGUAAACUGAGGAAGCCAUGGAGAAAGAGCUGAGAAAUCAAGCAUAGAAAAACCUAAACUAAUUUUGGUAGACUGUUGUAAGGGCGUUGAAUUGCCAUGAACUACUCAGCCUGGUAGCACAGCAGCCAGCGCUUCCAUGGGCAAUUGACAAAGUUCAUAUCAUUCUAUAACACAAACUAUGAAGUUCUAGUACAGACUCUAUUGAUGCUAAAUGCUGUACCAGGAUAUGACAGAAAUUGUUCUGCCUCUAAGAGCUGACGUGGUGCUCCUGGAGCUGCCAUGGAAAGAAGGUGAGGAGAACAAGAGCAACAAUGACACGAUUUCUGGGACUGCCUACCAGCACAGCACACCUUCCCACUGAGGGCUUCCUAACACUAAGACUUUACAAGAGAAGCCCUAUGGAAGUGGAUUUGUGGACAAGAGCAGGAGAGGAAACUACAUUUGCAGUAAAUAAAAGCAUCAUUCGCAGAUGUCCUAGCGGUGACCUUGGAAUUUGGAAAUACACAUCUCCUGGACAGAAGAGUCUGUGGGGGGAAAUCACUGGUGCCUUGUGCCACUGCCCUUCUUGGGAGCAAAGGGCUCGGCAUAAGGUCUUCAAGGUCAGGAAGGUUUCCGGAGUCAAGUGCCACUUGAGAGUCAAUGAACAGAGAAAAAC
rnacentral:lncRNA from 7 species